AGAGUUUGAUCCUGGCUCAGAUUGAACGCUGGCGGCAGGCCUAACACAUGCAAGUCGAGCGGUAGCACAGAGAGCUUGCUCUCGGGUGACGAGCGGCGGACGGGUGAGUAAUGUCUGGGAAACUGCCUGAUGGAGGGGGAUAACUACUGGAAACGGUAGCUAAUACCGCAUAAUGUCGCAAGACCAAAGUGGGGGACCUUCGGGCCUCAUGCCAUCAGAUGUGCCCAGAUGGGAUUAGCUAGUAGGUGGGGUAACGGCUCACCUAGGCGACGAUCCCUAGCUGGUCUGAGAGGAUGACCAGCCACACUGGAACUGAGACACGGUCCAGACUCCUACGGGAGGCAGCAGUGGGGAAUAUUGCACAAUGGGCGCAAGCCUGAUGCAGCCAUGCCGCGUGUGUGAAGAAGGCCUUCGGGUUGUAAAGCACUUUCAGCGGGGAGGAAGGCGGUGAGGUUAAUAACCUCAUCGAUUGACGUUACCCGCAGAAGAAGCACCGGCUAACUCCGUGCCAGCAGCCGCGGUAAUACGGAGGGUGCAAGCGUUAAUCGGAAUUACUGGGCGUAAAGCGCACGCAGGCGGUCUGUCAAGUCGGAUGUGAAAUCCCCGGGCUUAACCUGGGAACUGCAUUCGAAACUGGCAGGCUAGAGUCUUGUAGAGGGGGGUAGAAUUCCAGGUGUAGCGGUGAAAUGCGUAGAGAUCUGGAGGAAUACCGGUGGCGAAGGCGGCCCCCUGGACAAAGACUGACGCUCAGGUGCGAAAGCGUGGGGAGCAAACAGGAUUAGAUACCCUGGUAGUCCACGCCGUAAACGAUGUCGAUUUGGAGGUUGUGCCCUUGAGGCGUGGCUUCCGGAGCUAACGCGUUAAAUCGACCGCCUGGGGAGUACGGCCGCAAGGUUAAAACUCAAAUGAAUUGACGGGGGCCCGCACAAGCGGUGGAGCAUGUGGUUUAAUUCGAUGCAACGCGAAGAACCUUACCUGGUCUUGACAUCCACAGAACUUUCCAGAGAUGGAUUGGUGCCUUCGGGAACUGUGAGACAGGUGCUGCAUGGCUGUCGUCAGCUCGUGUUGUGAAAUGUUGGGUUAAGUCCCGCAACGAGCGCAACCCUUAUCCUUUGUUGCCAGCGGUCCGGCCGGGAACUCAAAGGAGACUGCCAGUGAUAAACUGGAGGAAGGUGGGGAUGACGUCAAGUCAUCAUGGCCCUUACGACCAGGGCUACACACGUGCUACAAUGGCAUAUACAAAGAGAAGCGACCUCGCGAGAGCAAGCGGACCUCAUAAAGUAUGUCGUAGUCCGGAUUGGAGUCUGCAACUCGACUCCAUGAAGUCGGAAUCGCUAGUAAUCGUAGAUCAGAAUGCUACGGUGAAUACGUUCCCGGGCCUUGUACACACCGCCCGUCACACCAUGGGAGUGGGUUGCAAAAGAAGUAGGUAGCUUAACCUUCGGGAGGGCGCUUACCACUUUGUGAUUCAUGACUGGGGUGA
rnacentral:rRNA from 1 species